CCGGCGCACGGGUGAGUAACACGUAUCCAACCUGCCCUUUACUCGGGGAUAGCCUUCUGAAAGGAAGAUUAAUACAAGAUGGCAUCAUGAGUUCACAUGUUCACAUGAUUAAAGGUAUUCCGGUAGACGAUGGGGAUGCGUUCCAUUAGAUAGUAGGCGGGGUAACGGCCCACCUAGUCUUCGAUGGAUAGGGGUUCUGAGAGGAAGGUCCCCCACAUUGGAACUGAGACACGGUCCAA
rnacentral:rRNA from 1 species